GACGAACGCUGGCGGCGUGCUUAACACAUGCAAGUCGAACGGUGAAAGAAGAGCUUGCUCUUCUGGAUCAGUGGCGAACGGGUGAGUAACACGUGAGUAACCUGCCCCAGACUCUGGAAUAAGCGCUGGAAACGGCGUCUAAUACCGGAUACGAGACAGAGCUGCAUGGCUACUGUCUGGAAAGUUUUUCGGUCUGGGAUGGACUCGCGGCCUAUCAGCUUGUUGGUGAGGUAACGGCUCACCAAGGCAACGACGGGUAGCCGGCCUGAGAGGGCGACCGGGCCACACGGGAAGAGAGACAGGGCCAGCACCCCGGCGGGGGGCAGGAGGGGGGAAUUUGGAAAAAGGGGCGAAGGCUGGAGGCAGCGCCGCCGGGGGGGGGAUGAGGGCUGGGGGUUGGAAACCCUUUUGCAGCGGGGAAGAAGGGAAGGGGCGGGACCCUGAAAGAGAACCCCGGGCUAGCUCGGGC
rnacentral:rRNA from 1 species